CACUGCGGCGCGCCGCCUGUCUCGUGGUAGGAGCCGAUGGGAGGCGUCGCCUUCAUCAUGUCUAUGGCUUCCAUUGCAAGCUGCAGUUGAAGAAGCAGGGCAGAACUGUUCAGGAGCUGAAAAGGAGGGUUCUGAAGCUUGAAUUCUGCCUCGAAGAAUCAUGGUCUCGUGUCCGAAAACUUCAUAGAAUAGCGACUUUUAUUAACCUCAUUUGUGAGACCCAGAACAGCUCUAUGUCGUUCUGUUACGCAGAGGCUGAAGCAUUUUUUGUGUGGAAAAUGUGCUCAGGGAAUAGCAAAGCAACUGGUUAGGGUGGCGAUAUCUAUAGCUGCCGGGAAGAGAGAUAAAGAAGCCACCGACAUGCUCCAUAAGAAGGCCUUGCAUGAGAUAAUCACAUAGAUUAUUUCUCCUUUUCAAGCUAUAUGCCCAUUUCCCAUCUCCAGAGGACAUCGAAUCAUCGCUGGCUCCACGCUCCCCUACAGAGAAGGCGCACGCAUGAGUACAAUCUUCUUCUACAUGUGAAAGAGGUGAUCGACCGUGGCCCUUUGAUGAUGGAUGGCACUGAUUUCUACCUUGACGAGGAGGAAAACCUGAGUUGCAAGCACAAGUUUGAGACCUGGCGGGCAAGAUCGACGGCACAGGUCCUGGUCUUUAUGGCGAGGCAUGAUUGGAGUUUGCUAUGAUCAUCUUAUAUCCAGUGUUUAAUUCAGUUUCUUAGGUUUGGUACUAGUUGUUUUUAAUCCAGUUUGGUACUACGUGUAUUUAAUUCAGAUUGUCAUUUGGUUUGAUUCAGAUAUUUGGCA